GCCAGGUGUGGUGGUGCAUACCUGUAAUUCCAGUGGCUUUGGAGGUUGAGGCAGGAGGAUCGAAAGUUCAAAGCCAGCCUCAGCCACUUCAUGAGGCCCUAAGCAACUUAGUGUGAUCCUGUCUCAA
rnacentral:sRNA from 1 species